rnacentral:rRNA from 1 species
UACGGAGGGUGCAAGCAUUAAUCGGAUUUAUUGGGCGUAAAGGGCGCGUAGGCGGGGAUAAUAGUCAGAUGUGAAAUCCCAGGGCUCAACCUCGGAACUGCAUUUGAAACUGUAUCUCUAGAGGGUAGGCGGAGAAAACGGAAUUCCACAAGUAGCGGUGAAAUGCGUAGAUAUGUGGAAGAACACCAGUGGCGAAGGCGGUUGCCUGGAGCUUUGCUGACGCUGAGGCGCGAAAGCGUGGGGAGCGAUCCGG